CCUGGUGGCUCAGAUGGUAAAGAAUCUGCCUGCAAUGCAGGAGACCCAAAGUUUGAUCUCUGCAUCAGGA
rnacentral:tRNA from 1 species